rnacentral:rRNA from 1 species
GACGAACGCUGGCGGCGUGCUUAACACAUGCAAGUCGAACGGAAAGGCCCUGCUUUUGUGGGGUGCUCGAGUGGCGAACGGGUGAGUAACACGUGAGUAACCUGCCCUUGACUUUGGGAUAACUUCAGGAAACUGGGGCUAAUACCGGAUAGGAGCUCCUGCUGCAUGGUGGGGGUUGGAAAGUUUCGGCGGUUGGGGAUGGACUCGCGGCUUAUCAGCUUGUUGGUGGGGUAGUGGCUUACCAAGGCUUUGACGGGUAGCCGGCCUGAGAGGGUGACCGGCCACAUUGGGACUGAGGUAAGGCCCAGACUCCUAAGGGAGGCAGGAGGGGGGAAUAUUGCACAAUGGGCGGAAGCCUGAUGCAGCAACGCCGCGUGCGGGAUGACGGCCUUCGGGUUGUAAACCGCUUUCGCCUGUGACGAAGCGUGAGUGACGGUAAUGGGUAAAGAAGCACCGGCUAACUACGUG